rnacentral:lncRNA from 1 species
UUGGUCACCAUGGUUUUGUUGAGAUUGUCAAUCAUAUUAUGUGUGAUGUUAUAUGGUCCUUCUCUUUCAGGAGCUGCUUCUCCUAAGAACAUAUUCAUCCUCGCAGGUCAGAGUAACAUGGCUGGUCGAGGUGGAGUUGAGAACAAUGCUCAAGGAAAUCUCCAGUGGGAUGGGUUAGUCCCACCAGAAUGUCAACCUCAACCAUCCAUCCUACGAUUGAACCCUGGUCUCCAAUGGGAGAUAGCACGAGAGCCACUCCAUUUGGGAAUUGACAUCAAAAGGACCCCUGGAAUUGGUCCCGGUAUCGCAUUUGCUCAUGAAUUGCUAGUCAAAGCUGGACCAAAUGCUGGCGCUGUGGGUUUAGUUCCAUGUGCUAGAGGUGGCACUUUAAUUGAACAAUGGAUUAAAAAUCCUAGCAAUCCUAGUGCAACCUUUUACCAAAACUUCAUUGAACGAAUCAAAGCAUCGGAUAAAGAUGGUGGGGUUGUGCGUGCUCUUUUCUGGUUCCAAGGAGAAAGUGAUGCAGCUAUGAAUGACACUGCCAUUAGAUACAAAGACAACCUAAAGAAAUUCUUCACUGACAUUCGUGAUGACAUAAAACCUAGAUUUUUGCCCAUCAUUGUUGUUAAAAUAGCUCUCUACGACUUUUUUAGGCAGCACGAUACUCAUAACCUCCCAGCAGUGAGGGAAGCACAAGAAGCAGUCAGCAAGGAGCUGCCUAACGUGGUGGCCAUCGAUUCGUUGAAAUUACCUAUAAACUAUACAACAAAUGAAGGCAUCAACCUAGAUCAUGGUCAUUUUAACACCACAACCGAAAUUACUUUGGGUAAAUGGUUGGCUGAAACCUACCUCUCCCACUUUGGUCAAUUACUUUAAUUUGUAUUAUUUAUCAACUUUGUUAUUAUAUAUCAAUAAAAUCAUCCAUCCACUCCUUUUAUUUAAAAUCUCCUUCCAAUUGACUCUCAACAUAAAAUAAUCAGUGGAAAUAAUUUCAUACUCAAAUCUCUAAUGAAUCAUCUUUGCAUCAUUAUCUUCUACACUAACACUUGGGAGAGGCGAAAAAGAGAGUUUGGGGGCAAAAGAAAAAACAAAUUCGACCCAAAAUUUUACAUUAAUUUUUCUUUAUGAUUAUACCUUUCACAAUCAAAAUGGCUCAACUGAAUUUAACUGUUUCCUGACUUCCUACAAUAACAUAUUUAUUUAAUUUUUUAAUACUUUUUUCUCAUUUAAAAACAAAUGUAUUUUCCAUUAACGUCAAUCAUAUCACUAAUAAAAUUUAAAAAGGGAAAAUAUCAUUUGUUUCUUGAGGUAUUUUAAAAAAUAUAAAAAAAAUAUUUACACUAAUUUAAAAACCAUUCACAAUGAAAAUAUUAAAAAAUGCACUUAUUAAUUGACAUCGUUUAAAUUUGGUUAUUUUUUUAAAAUUUUUUUUUUUAUAUAAGGUUGUUUAAAAGAAAAAUUGGUAUACACUAUCGUUUAUAUUUAAUGGUUCAAAUUUGGCCACUCAAAUCUAAAGGGUCUUUUUAGAAUCUUUAGUACAUAUAUUUAGAUUUAAUUAUUAUUUUUUUUUUUGGUUUAGAUUUGGUCUAAUGUCCCAACAAUUUUUUUCAUUAUCUUUUAUAUUUGCACACGAUUUUAAACAACCAAACAAUGGUUUUUAAAAAUAAAAGAAAAUUAAAAAAAAAAAAAGAGAAAAAGACUUGAAAAGAAGAAGAAAAAUAGUUGAAGGGAAAGAGAAGAAAUAUUUUUGUAUAUAAUCAUAUUAUUCAUUUUGUUCCACGGCCCACAAAUAUUUUGUCGAUUUGUUGAAAAUUAAAUCUGUUUCUUUUUAAACAGUGAUAAACAUAACAUAUCUAAUUAAUUAAUUUAAUCUAAUAAAAAGUGAUUGAGAUCAUUCUAAAAUAGUAAAAUGGAUGAAGAAAUAAACGAAGAAAAAAAUGGAUGGAUAGAAGAGAGUAAAGAGAAAGAGAAGAGACGGAGUGCUUGAGAAUGAGAGCGAAUUGGAAACCGUUUUAUCUUUUUGUUUGGCGCUUGCAGAUAUAACAAAAUUAGUUUUAGAAAUUAGGCCCAUAAAACACACUUUUGAAUUUGCAAAAAUGACAAAAUUCAAGUCAGUCCACAUUUGAAAAAUGUAAAAUUACAAACCUUCCCUCGAAUUGUAAACAUUUUCACACAUCAUUUGAUAUGUUGUUGAUACACUUGGUAUGUUUUUUAUAUAUUUGUUAUGCUUGUUGAUACACUCGAUCAAUUAAAUAACACUUGAUGCAUAUAAUUGGUUUGAUACACUUAUAUGUUGUUGAUACAUUUGUUAAACUUUGCAAAUACACUCAAUUAAUUAAAUACAUUGAUGCACUAAGUAUAAUACUUUUGUUGUAUUGUCGAUACAUUUAUUAAAGGGACACUUGCAAAAAUGACAAAAUAAGUUAUAAUAAUUAAAUCCAUAACACAUAUACUUUAUUAUUUGCAAAAAUGACAAAAACGAAGCCCAAUCCACACAUCAAAAAGUAAAAUGUCACAAAUGUCUUCGUUACUAAUAUACGUUUGAUACACCUUAUACUGAUACACCUAAUACCGUUUGAUACAUCUGAUACUUCUUGAUACACCCGAUACAGUUGAUUGAUAUACUUGAUGCACUUAAUGCACUUGAUACUUUUUGAUAAACUUGAUACCUUUUAAUAGACACCUGAAACUUAUGUUUGAUACACCUGAUGCACUGCAUAUACAUUUAGUAUUCUUCACUUAUGCAAUUGAUUGAUUAAAUGCACUUGAUAUGCUUGAAGUCCUACUUAUACACUUGAUAUACUAUUGUUAUACACUUGUAAACUUGGUUCAUAUACUUAAUAAUGAUUUACUUUGCUGAUAUGCUUUAACAAUAUAUUGUUGAUAAACUUGAUAAUGAUACACUAAGUUACAUCAUUCAUAUACUUAAUAAUACUCUAAUAAACUGCAUAAAAUUUAAAAAAUUGAAAAAUCAUGUAGUAAGUAUAUUAACCAACUAAUACAUAUAAUAUAAGUAUAUUAGAACAGAACACUGAUAUACAAAACUGAGACAAAGUUAAACCAAAACAAAAUUAAUGUAAAAAAAUAGAACAAAAUGAUUUAGAAUCAGAUUGUUGUACUAUGGAAAAAAGUAAAAAAAAAUCACAAAUGAAGUUAAAUUACUCUAAUCAACAACUAUUAUGUUUUAUAUUGUAAUUGUUGUACUAUUGAUAUUCUAAAAUUAAGAUUAAGACAUAAAUAAUAAAUAAUUUUUAUAGUAUAAGAAUAAAAAAAUAAUUAGAGCCUUACAAAGUGGGAGAAUAAAUAAAUAAUGGAUAGGACAUUAAAAAUAGGAAAAUAAAUAAGUUAUUGAAUGAUAGUUUAAAAAUAAUAACAAAUUUAAAAUUGAGAAGCGAGAAGUUUGUUAUAUUUGCAAAAUUCUAAAAUUAUAAUUGCUAUAUUAUAAAAUGUUCAUAUAGAAAUUUCCCAAAUUGAGGGUUAAAAGCGCAAAAUGCUCAUAAUCCACAAGUACUCACCUAUAAAAGUGAUCUUUAAAACUAACCGUACUAAAAAUAGAGUAAAAAAUAGUAUAAAAGGUGGGGUAAUAACAUAGAGAAAGGCAGAGGCAAGGAUCAGCCAACCAAACUAAGGGGGGAGUAACUAAAGCAAGAGAGUAGUUGUGUGUCUGUGCAAAUAGACACAAGAGGAAAAGUUAUCCUUUUUUUAAAAACCGUGCACAUUGUUUAUACUUUUCUUCUGUGUUUAUUUGUACAGACACAACAGACACAAAUUGGUCACCAUGGUUUUGUUGAGAUUGUCAAUCAUAUUAUGUGUGAUGUUAUAUGGUCCUUCUCUUUCAGGAGCUGCUUCUCCUAAGAACAUAUUCAUCCUCGCAGGUCAGAGUAACAUGGCUGGUCGAGGUGGAGUUGAGAACAAUGCUCAAGGAAAUCUCCAGUGGGAUGGGUUAGUCCCACCAGAAUGUCAACCUCAACCAUCCAUCCUACGAUUGAACCCUGGUCUCCAAUGGGAGAUAGCACGAGAGCCACUCCAUUUGGGAAUUGACAUCAAAAGGACCCCUGGAAUUGGUCCCGGUAUCGCAUUUGCUCAUGAAUUGCUAGUCAAAGUUGGACCAAAUGCUGGCGCUGUGGGUUUAGUUCCAUGUGCUAGAGGUGGCACUUUAAUUGAACAAUGGAUUAAAAAAUCCUAGCAAUCCUAGUGCAACCUUUUACCAAAACUUCAUUGAACGAAUCAAAGCAUCGGAUAAAGAUGGUGGGGUUGUGCGUGCUCUUUUCUGGUUCCAAGGAGAAAGUGAUGCAGCUAUGAAUGACACCGCCAUUAGAUACAAAGACAACCUAAAGAAAUUCUUCACUGACAUUCGUGAUGACAUAAAACCUAGAUUUUUGCCCAUCAUUGUUGUUAAAAUAGCUCUCUACGACUUUUUUAGGCAGCACGAUACUCAUAACCUCCCAGCAGUGAGGGAAGCACAAGAAGCAGUCAGCAAGGAGCUGCCUGACGUAGUGGCCAUCGAUUCGUUGAAAUUACCUAUAAACUAUACAACAAAUGAAGGCAUCAACCUAGAUCAUGGUCAUUUUAACACCACAACCGAAAUUACUUUGGGUAAAUGGUUGGCUGAAACCUACCUCUCCCACUUUGGUCAAUUACUUUAAUUUGUAUUAUUUAUCAACUUUGUUAUUAUAUAUCAAUAAAAUCAUCCAUCCACUCCUUUUUUUUUUUUAAAUCUCCUUCCAAUUGACUCAUAACAUAAUUAAUUAAUUGAAACAAUUUCUUACUCACCUACCUCUACCAGAAUCAUCUUUGCAUGAUUAUCUACACUUUGUUUAGGGGAAAUGUUGGGUUAUGGAAGGGUUAGGGUUAUAAUAAAGGGUUUUUAACUCAUAUAGCUUUUAAUUAAAAAGUAAUUUUAAUAAAUACAUUCACAAUCAAACUUAUUAAACAAUCAUAAAACUCUCAUAACAAUUAAAUUUUUUAAUUUAUUUCAAACCCUAACUUUAACGACUAAUUAUCUAAACUUAUUUAUGUAAAUUUUUUUAGCAACGUUUAUUAAGUCAACUAAAUUGACAAAAUAAAUUUCAUAAAACUGCAAAUUGGAUUUGGAUUUCUCUCACUCACAAAUGACCAUUGUAUUUUUCUAUUUCUCACUAUUCUUUUAAAUUAAAGAUCAAUAACAAACAUAAUUAUUAACUAUAAGUUAUAACAAAGGUUUACUACUCCUAUAUAUCCUAUAUAUCCACAAAGAAAAUUAGUUGUACAUUCAUCCAUUAUACUAAAAGUACCAAAAAAAAUUCUAACACAUCAUGAAUCAUUAAAUUUUCAUAAUGUCAACAAAUCUCAUCCCAAAACAGAGCUCCAAACACACAGCAUUUACCAUCUCUCGUUGAUUGUAAUUCACAAACAAAUUUGCCAAGAAAAUCUCAUUUAACCCCAAAUUGUUAAACGAAACAGAGAGAGAUGAGAGAAAAAAUUUACACGAAGAGAAAGAGGAAAGCGGAGAGGGAAAAGGGAAAGAAGAAAAAGCAGAGGGGAUGGGGAAAGAGGAAACAAAGAGAGAAAGAGGAAAGAGGAAGAAGAAGCAACAGGGAUCGAGGGAAAAUCAAGGGACUAAUACGCAAGCUACGAGAGAGUGAAGGAAAGAGUUAUGGCAGAGAUCGAGGGGAUAAGUGUGAAAGGGAUUUAGAGGUAUUAUGGAAACCCUAGAACUAGAGUUUCUAUAAGUUGGACUCCAAACAAAUUUUAGGGUUAAGUGAUAAACAGAGACCCAAACGCUACUCUCAAGGUGAGAAACAUACUGUUGGGCAAAAUAAACAAAUUCAACAAACAUUUCUCUAUUUAGGUCAAUUAACAAAAUUAUCUUUAACACCAAAAUUUUACAUUAAUUUUCCUCUAUGAUUAUACCUAUCAGAAUCAAAAUGGCUCAAUUGAAUUUAAGUGUUUGUGGACUUCCUACAAUGACACAUUUAUUUAAUUUCAUAAUACACUUGGUUUCUUUAGUUUAAAAAUACCUAUAUUUUUCAUUAACGCCAAUUACAUACACUAAUAAAAUUUUAAAAGUGAAAAAGCAGUUUGUUUCUUUUUUAAAACAUAUAACACCAAUUUCGAAAAUGGAAGAGAGCCAGAGAUCCACACUAUAAAAUAUAGUGAAUAAUUUAAUAUCAUUUUAGAUUUGGAUAUCCAAUAUUCCAACUAUUUUUUCACGACCUUAAACAUCUCAAAUAACAGUUUGAAAUAUUUUUAAUAAAAAAAUAGACAUUUUAUAUUUGGUAGGGUUGUUCACGGUUCAGUUCGAGGCCAAAAUCGCACCGAACCAAAAAGUAAAGAAAUAUCCUUCAAUUCAUAAUAAAAAUCCUAUAUAAACAUUAGCUUACAAAGUUACAAGCAUAGAUUAAAUUAAUUUUGUACAGUAAUUAAGUAUAAGACAUAAAAGUUUCAAACAAUGAAGUUUGAAAGUCCAUCAAAAUAAUUCCUAUAAAGUUGAAUAAAGCGAUUCGGUUCAAUUUUAAAAUAGAAUUAAAUGUCUUAAACUAAAUCGAAUAGCAUAAGAAUCAAUUUCAAUUUAACACAAAUCGAAUCAAAUCGUAUGUAUUCGGUUUUGGUUAUGUUAUGUAGUUAUAGUUCGAUUUGUCAUUUGGUUUGGUUUUCAACUAUUCUUUAACACCACUAAUAUUUGGUACACAAUCUUGAAUUAAAUAACAGUUUUAAAAAAAAAAUUGCAAAAGAAGAAAAAAAACUAUGAAAAAGAAUGGCAGACCUAGAAUAGUUUUUUUUAAAAAUAGUCAUUCUAGGCUUUUCCAUUUAGUUACACGGUCCAUAAAUAUUUUUUUAAUUUAUUAUAUUUAUGAAAAUUAAAUUUUAAUUAUGGCUAAACAUAAAAUAUCUAAUUAAUUAAUUUAAUCUAAUAGAAAUUAAUAAAUCGUAAAAUAGAUGAGGAAAAAAAAUCCAUGACAAACAUUUUUUUUAUCUUUUCUAUUUCUUUUGUUUAAAAACAAAGUCUACUUUCUUUAAAUAUAAUUCAUAGUAAAAAAUUUCAAAACAACAAAUUAAAGUUAUUAUUUUUUUAAAAAAAAUGACCAUAAAUAAAAUAUAGAUAAUAAAAUAAAAAAGUUAUUGAAGAUGGUAGUAGUGUCUAUAUACAACACAAAUUAAGCUUAUAGACACGUAAAUAUUUUUUUUAAGACUUAUAGAAAAAAUAACGAGAAAUGAUUAUUGAAAAUAUUUUAUUUUUCUUAUAUAGAAAAGGGAAAAAUAAAUGCCAUAGCUUUACAAACCUAAUUAAUUUGAGGAGAGUACAUCAACUUUUAAUAUUCAUAUAGAAAUUUACAAAAUUGAGGAAUGUUCGUAUAGAAAUUUACCAAAUUGAGGGUUAAAGCGAAAAACACUCACAAUCCACAAGUAUUCACCUAUAAAAAUGAUAUUUAAAACUUAACCAUACUAAAAAAAGAGUAAAAAAUAGUAUAAAAGGUAGGGUAGUAACAUAGAGAAAGGCAGAGACAAGGAUCAGCCAACCAAACUAAAGGGGGGCAGUAACUAAAGCAAGAGAGUAGUUGUGUCUUUGCAAAUAGACACAACAGGACAAGUUACAUCUGUGUUUAUUUGCAUAGACACAAAUUGGUCACCAUGGUUUUGUUGAGAUUGUCAAUCAUAUUAUGUGUGAUGUUAUAUGGUCCUUCUCUUUCAGGAGCUGCUUCUCCUAAGAACAUAUUCAUCCUCGCAGGUCAAAGUAACAUGGCUGGUCGAGGUGGAGUUGAGAACAAUGCUCAAGGAAAUCUCCAGUGGGAUGGGUUAGUCCCACCAGAAUGUCAACCUCAACCAUCCAUCCUACGAUUGAACCCUGGUCUCCAAUGGGAGAUAGCACGAGAGCCACUCCAUUUGGGAAUUGACAUCAAUAGGACCCCUGGAAUUG